CCUACGGGAGGCAGCAGUGGGGAAUAUUCGGCAAUGAGCGCAAGCUUGACCCAGCAACGCAGCGUGAAGGAAGAAGGCUUUCGGGUUGUAAACUUCUUUUAUGGGGGAAGAGCAGAAGACGGUACCCCUUGAAUAAGCCACGGCUAACUACGUGCCAGCAGCCGCGGUAAUACGUAGGUGGCAAGCGUUGUCCGGAUUUACUGGGUGAAAAGGGCGUGCAGCCGGAGAGACAAGUCAGAUGUGAAAUCCACGGGUUUAAACCGUGAGUUGCAUUUGAAACUAUUUCCCUUGAGUGUCAGAGAGGUAAUCGGAAUUCCUUGUGUAGCGGUGAAAUGCGUAGAUAUAAGGAAGAACACCAAUGGCGAAGGCGGAUUACUGGACGAUAACUGACGGUGAGGCGCGAAAGCGUGGGGAGCAAACAGGAUUAGAUACCCGGGUAGUC
rnacentral:rRNA from 1 species